rnacentral:rRNA from 1 species
GGAGCCUGAGAAACGGCUACCACAUCUAAGGAAGACAGCAGGCGCGCAAAUUACCCAAUCCUAAUACUGGGAGGUAGUGACAAGAAAUAACAAUACAGGACUUUUUGGUUUUGUAAUUGGAAUGAGUUAAGUAUAAACCCCUUUACAAGUAUCAAUUGGAGGGCAAGUCUGGUGCCAGCAGCCGCGGUAAUUCCAGCUCCAAUAGCGUAUAUUAAAGUUGUUGCAGUUAAAAAGCUCGUAGUUGGAU